ensembl:lincRNA
AUGUGGGUGUGUCUGUCAGUCAGUGGGUGUGUCAGGACAGAGGGUGUGUACAUGUGGGUGUGUCUGUUAGUCAGUGGGUGUGUCUUGACAGAGGGUGUGUUUAUGUGGGUGUGUCAGUCAGUCAGUGGGUGUGUCAGGACAGAUAAUGUGUAUAUAUGGGUGUGUCUGUUUAGUCAGUGGGUGUGUCAGAGACAGAGGGUGGUUUAUGUGGGUGUGUCUGUUGUCAGUGGGUNNNNNNNNNNNNNNNNNNNNNNNNNNNNNNNNNNNNNNNNNNNNNNNNNNNNNNNNNNNNNNNNNNNNNNNNNNNNNNNNNNNNNNNNNNNNNNNNNNNNACACACACACACAGACUCACUCUCACACACACACACUCAUGAGUGUGUGUCCAGCAGGGAUCCGUCUCUCAGUAAAGCGUGCGCUCACAGUCUGGCAGAGCGCAGCGAGUACGUCAAGCAGAUGAAGACGCUCCUCAACUCCAGAGACUUCAGGGAGAGGAUGAAGGCCAUCGAUCAGCUGGUGUGUGACUGUGAGGAAAACCCAGCUCUGGUCAUCGGCAGCCUGUUCCCGGUGUUUGACUGUCUGAAGGCGCGUCUGCAGGAGUCUAACAGUAAGGUGAAUCUGCGCGCUCUGGAGGCUCUGCACUCCAUCAUCACUCUGCUCAGAGAUCAUCUUUCUCCAGUGCUCAACAUCCUCAUCCCGGCGCUCGUGGACAAUCACCUCAACUCCAAAAACACACUCGUCUACACGGCGGCGCUGGCGGCACUGCAGGCCCUCACACACAACAUCGGUCAGUGCUACACAACUACAUCAUUCACCACAGCUAUCAGUGCUUAAAGGCAGGACUAUCUAUCAGUCAUUUAGGGCGGGGCUAUCAGUCAUUUAGGGCGGGGCUAUCAGUCAUUUAGGGCGGGGCUAUCAGUCAUUUAGGGUGGGGGUAUUAGUAAUUUAGGGUGGGGCUAUCAGUCAUUUAGGGCGGGGCUAUCAGUCAUUUAGGACGGGGCUAUCAGUCAUUUAGGGCGGGGCUAUUAGUCAUUUAGGGUGGGGCUAUCACUAUUUUAGGGUGGGGUUAUCAGUGAUUUAGGGCAGGGCUAUCAGUGAUUUAGGGCAGGGCUAUCAGUGAUUUAGGGCGGGGCUAUCAGUCAUUUAGGGUGGGGCUAUUAGUAAUUUAGGGUGGGGCUAUCAGUCAUUUAGGGUGGGGCUAUCAGUCAUUUAGGGCGGGGCUAUCAGUCAUUUAGGACGGGGCUAUCAGUCAUUUAGGGCGGGGCUAUUAGUCAUUUAGGGUGGGGCUAUCACUAUUUUAGGGUGGGGUUAUCAGUGAUUUAGGGCAGGGCUAUCAGUGAUUUAGGGCGGGGCUAUCAGUCAUUUAGGGAGGGGUAUCUGUCAUUUAGGGUGGGGCUAUUAGCCAUUUAGGGUGGGGCUAUCAGCCAUUUAGGGUGGGGCUAUCAGUCAUUUAGGGCGGGGCUAUCAGUCAUUUAGGGUGGGGUUAUCAGUCAUUUAGGGCGGGGCUAUCAGUCAUUUAGGGCCGGCUAUCAGUAAUUUAGGGCGGGGCUAUCAGUCAUUUAGGGUGGGGCUAUCAGUAAUUUUGGGUGGGGCUAUCAGUGAUUUAGGGUGGGGCUAUCAGUCAUUUAGGGCGGGGCUAUCAGUCAUUUAGGGUGGGGUUAUCAGUCAUUUAGGGCGGGGCUAUCAGUCAUUUAGGGCCGGCUAUCAGUAAUUUAGGGCGGGGCUAUCAGUCAUUUAGGGUGGGGCUAUCAGUAAUUUUGGGUGGGGCUAUCAGUGAUUUAGGGUGGGGCUAUCAGUCAUUUAGGACGGGACUAUCAGUCAUUUAGGGUGGGGCUAUCAGUCAUUUAGGGCGGGGCUAUCAGUCAUUUAGGGUGGGGCUAUCAGUCAUUUAGGGCGGGGCUAUCAGUGAUUUAGGGUGGGGUUAUCAGUAAUUUGUGGUGGGGCUAUCAGUAAUUUAUGGUGGGGCUAUCAGUAAUUUAGGGUGGGGCUAUCAGUGAUUUAGGAUGGGACUAUCAGUUAUUUAGGGCGGAGCUAUCAGUCCUUAAGCAUUACAUCACCUUAAAUGAAAGUCCUACUGCUGGAGUGUUUUAACCUCUACAUGAGUGUGUGUUCAGCAGUGUGUUGAGCUGUGUUUCAGUGUGUGUUGACUGUAGUGACUCUGUGUGUGUUUCAGACAACAGUCUCCUGCUGCAGCCCUUCUGCUCUAAAGCACAGUAUCUGAGCGGGAAAGCAAAGCUGGACCUGAUCGAGAAAGUAGCAGGUGAGUCUGGAGGAGCUUUAUCAGAAUAAUAAUAAUAAUAAUGUAUUUUUGUUGAUCAUGAGUGUGUGUUAUCAGAUCUGGUGCUAAAUCUGUGUCGCAGUGUGUGUCUAUGUAAAUCAGUGUGAACCUGCUGUGUUAAUCAUCAGUGUGUGUGUGUGUGUGUGUGUGGCAGAGGUGGUGUGUGACCUGUAUCCCCGCAGGCCUCAGCUGGUGGAGCAGAAGACUCUCCCUCUGCUGUGGACUCUGCUGGGCUCUUGCAGUGCU